GCAGUGGUGGUUCAGUGGUAGAACUCCUGCUUUCCAUAUGGGAGACCCUGGUUCGAUUCCCAGCCAAUGCA
rnacentral:tRNA from 1 species